CCCGAGUCUACUUAUGAACUCUCCUUGAAAGAUAUUGUUGACGAGGAGCAUAUAGCAGAGGAAGUUGAAGACGAACUUAUCCUUGAGGAUAGAAAUUCCCUUUCAGAAACAGAAGUUCAGAUCAGUAAGCAGAAGAAGAAUAAGAAGAAGAGCAUCAAAUCAGGAAAAAUUUCAAGGAGUUCAAGCAUGGAUAAUGAAGCUUUCUUACUCAAGAUUUUUUUUCCAAGCACUCGUGGUUCAAAAAGGCAAGUACAUACCAGAAAGUGUUCAAAGAUUUCUCCAAAGCCAUCUGGUGUUGGAUCAGAGAACCGCAUAUACAAGGGAUGGUCAAUAAAAAGAAUUCUGGUUACAAGAGAGGGAAAAAAUAGUGAAGAAAAUAGCAGCAGCGGAAGCUCUAGUAGCAGCCAAAGCAGCACAGAUAUAGUCAGGUAUUUCCAUGACAUCCUCUCAAGCUUCAACAUUUAAGCAAUUUUCUACAACUAGACAGUUUUCUACAACUAAAUAGGACCAGGAAGUCUUUUACCACCCAAAAAAAGAAUACCAAGAAGUCUAUAGAAUUUCUGGAACUACAUUAUAACAUCUAAGUAGACUGAUGGAAACAAUUAAAACUGAAAAUUGAGAGAGGCCAAAAAAUGAUCAUAAAAAACUGCUUAAUAAUCAGAGAAGUUAUAACUGGCUUGUGGCACUAAUAAAACUUUUGCAUCUUUAUAUUAUGCAGACAUGGAGAUGGUGAUUCCUUAACUGGUUGCUUGCCGUUCUUCUUCUCCAAGAUAGGCAAAAACAAGAACCAGAGAGCGCAUCUUUUGAAUGAGGAUGCAAUAUAGACUUGAAUCAAUGUUGUCAACCAAAGACAACAAAAGAUGCAACGAGGAAGCAUUUGGCUAAAUAGAAGAAGAAUUAAAUAACCUGAACAGAUUUCUCAGUCCUGUGGCUAUGCUCUUGAGAAAUCAGUGAAGUGC
rnacentral:lncRNA from 1 species